AACAAGACGACAUGCCGUCUAAACAAAAGUUUAAAGCCCAAACACAGGAUAAUUGGCGGCAAAUGGUGUUCAUUUCAUCCAUCCAAUACCACCCUUCAUCAUAUCACAAUUAGCUAAUAAAAAUGCAGUGCGACGAAGUGACGAAGUGACGAAGUGACGAAGUGACGAAGUUAGAGUAUGCUCGAGCGUCGGCGGCAUUCCGUGCGACGAGCUCUUUGCGCUGUGUCUAUAGAGCCAAAAAUGUGCUUGACUUCAUAGUAGAAAUGCAUGACCCCCGCCACACUACGUAAUGGAAACUAAAGAUUAAGGAUGGGCAUGCUCCUUACUCCAGCCCAUCAAAGUUCUUUCGGUUAGGUUAUGUAAUAGCCGUUGACGUCGUCGAGAAGGUAGUCGUAGGGUGCACCUGAUCCAUAGUCAAAAGUCGCAUUUGUGGUUGUCCCUCGAUUUGGAGAGUGGUAGACAUUUCCGACACCAACCUUUGCGUUAACUUUGGCCCUGCCCUUGACAAUGCGCUUGUUAUCGAUGGGGAACUCGGCGGAAAGCCUUCCCAUCUGCUUCUGCAGAUCAGCAACUGAAUCGUUGGUUAGUUUGCCCUUGGAAUUUUUCUUCCCAUCAACAAGUUUCAGCUCCAAUCUGUACAAGGCACAAGCAUCGCACUUGUUGAUCUCGUACUCGUAAAGGUGCCACUCAAAAUGGUUCGAUGGUUGAGGAUCCAUAUAGUAAGACCUCUUCAGCCCUCCAUACUCAUUCAUCACUUGCUUCCUCGACUCAUGCCAACCUCGUCCGUUGUAAUCUGGCAAUGACCUCUGUUUUCUGUUGCCGCUCUCAAAAGCUCUUCGAGGCUUAUCGAAAAAGAGCCACUCCCUGAUUACCUCACCCUCAAGAACCGAAAGAUCAAAGAGUUCUGGAAUCACAAGGACUUGAUCAGAUCAAAUUCACAACAAAAGUCACUCAUGACUUCUAAAUAAAUUUUACAACAAAACGAGGAUAAAAACAGCUAACAUGCACUUACCACGUGCAUUCCAUGGAGACUUCGCAGUAGCCGCUCCCUCGCACUCAGGGAUACCAACACUUUUUCCUUGUGCCUUUGCACUAAGAGCAGCAAAAAGUAGGCCGUCCUUCAGGCCUAUGCCCCCAGGUCUAAGGACCGGACCCAUGCCUGGUGGUCCUUCAUUCAAUGCCAAAGCAGCAUGAAAGCUACUGCAGUAGUCUAGCCACCAGUCCAUCCCUUGAGCAGGCCUAGGGCAAUCCCAAAGUGCACACUUUGGGCCCAAGAAAGCAGAUGGCGGAGGAAAAAUACUCGGUAGAUAAGUAGAAACCUGAGGCAAUGUGUCCUCCCCACUCAAAGCUGUGGCAUUAAAACAAGGAUAGAAACUCUGCUCAAAGUCUUGAUGCAAUUCAAACUGAUGAUAGUCCAAUUGAUUAGCCCCUUCCAAAUUGUUAACAGCAACAUUGCGAACUCCUGAAGGGGAGCUUUUGCUCUGAUCAGCCAACGGCAUGGCAUGUUCCUGUUGCCCUUGAUUCACACUAAAUCCCUGAUAUAUGGUGUUUGCAACCACCAGUGAGUGCUCAUAUACAACUGAUUCACUUUUCAUUUCAAAGCGGAAGAACAAAGCACAUAGCUAUAUGGAUAAACAACAAAAAGAAAUUGAAAAGAAAAAAAACAAAGACAGUUUAACAGUUCAGAAAAGAGCGAACAAAAAAAAGAAAAAUAAAGGGUGCAAAACCACCUCAUGAAAGACCAAACUUUCUCCAACUUGCAAGUUUUGAUCAUUCGGCUCGGGUUUCGGUGCAGCUAAUGGACUAGUGGCAUCAUCUUCCUCUUCACACAGCUGCAACAGCCGGCAAAUGUCCGAAGAGAACGAACCAAGACUGCCACCCUAUAUUCGCCAUAAACACCAAAAUUCACAACCAGACCCUUUAAAGCAAAAACAUAACCACAUAUUUCAUAAGUUGAUGUAUUACAUAUACGCAACAGGACGCUUCUAAUUACAUAUCUAGUUCCACAUAUGCACUCAAAACAAAAUCAAAAU
rnacentral:lncRNA from 1 species